AAAGGUCUGGCUUUUUUUCUCGAGAAAAAGGAGACUUUUAGCAGAAAGGGGAAUGUGGGUUUGUGGAGUGGAGAGUUUGCUUUGUUAAGUCGGUAGCUCUCCUUUCGUUUCCCAAUUAAAAAGUCUGUCUUUCUAAGCAACCCUUCUCUUUGGUUUUGAUCUUUUCACUGAGGACGAAUUUUUUUUAAAAAAAUAGCUUUGUUUGGUAGAGGAAAAUGUACAGAAACUGACCUG
rnacentral:misc_RNA from 1 species